GAAUUGGAACGUACACAAAAGUUUGGGAGGAUCUAAGGGAUCAAAACCCCCAUAAAAUUUUUAUGGGGUGCACAAAUUUCACCAUAAUUUUUGUUUAAGAUAUUCCUGCCAUAAUACUGUCACAUGUCCAUUUUCAAUAAAAAAUCGCUAAUAGUUUUCGAUAUAAUCGAAAAAAUCGAUUUUCAUUUUGUAAUUUCAAAGGGCUGUAACUUUUUUUAUGUGCAUAUUUGUACUAAGGUAAGUUAGGUUCAUUCGAACUAUUUUUGGUCCCAGAAUAUGUGAUUUAAUUUAUGACCUGUAUUUUUGUUACACCCUGUAUAUACAGCCGAUUACGCACCACCUUAAAAAUUGGGCAUUUUUGAUGUCUCGAAUUUCCUAAACCUGUUGUUGCAUCUAAGUGAUUUUUUUAUAAUAUUCUAGCCUAGGCCCUAGGCUAUAGGUUAAGUACCUCCUUAUGGUUGUCAUGCACGGGGAGCUAUACUGUAAUAUAUAUUAUAUCACAUCGCUCUCUAUAGUAAUGAGUGAGCCUGUACAUACGGAACCAUUUGUUUAAGGUUUAAUACCCCAUAUUUAAGGUGGUGCGUUAAUUUCUUGGAGAAGUGUAUUGUAAUUUAAUGUAAAUAAUGUAAUAUCCAAUAAUUGUAAUUUAAUAUAAGAUGUAAUAUAAGUUCCUUAAAAAAUAUAUUUUUUAUUUCCCACGACAUUAGAUGGAUGUUCGGCAGCAAGACAUUAGACCAAACUGGGACGUCCUAUGAAGGCCCAAUUGACGUCCACCGAACGUCCCUUCGGAUGUUAAGUGGACCUCCAUUGGACGUUUGGCAACGUGGCAUUUGGACCAAAAUUGGACGUCCUGUUAAUGUCCAAUUCACGUCCCCUAGGACGUCCGGUUAAGGUCCAAUUUACUUCCGAUUAAGGUCCAAUUUACGUCCGAUUAAGGUCCCAUUUACGUCCGAUUAAGGUCCAAUUUACGUCCUAUUAAGGUCCAAUUUACGUCCGAUUAAGGUUCAAUUUACGUCCGAUUAAGGUCCAAUUUAUGUCCUAUUAAGGUCCAAUUUACGUCUGAUUAAGGUCCAAUUUACGUCCGAUUAAGGUCCAAUUUACGUCCCCUAGGACGUCCGAUCAAGGUCCAAAUUACGUCCGAUUAAGGUCCAAUAUACGUCCCCUCGGACCUUAGAUGGACGUCCAAUGGACGUUCGGUAGCGCGACAUUUGGACCAAAAUAGGACGUAUAAAGGACGUUCCUCGGACGAAAACGGACGUCCAAUGGACGUCCCUAAAGUCCGUGAAGGACGUCCAUUGGACGUCCUUGUGCUA